GAUGAAGAACGUAGCGAAAUGCGAUAAGUAAUGUGAAUUGCAGAAUUCAGUGAAUCAUCGAAUCUUUGAACGCACAUUGCGCCCGCCAGUAUUCUGGCGGGCAUGCCUGUUCGAGCGUCAUUUCAACCCUCAAGCCCUGCUUGGUGUUGGGUGCCGGCACGCGCGCCUCCGGGCGCCCGCCGCCCCCGAAAUGAAUUGGCGGUCUCGUCGCAGCCUCCCUCGCGUAGUAGUAAAACAUCUCGCUUGGUGGAGUGCGGCGCGGCCACGCCGUAAAACCUCUUAAUUUUUUUAAGUUGACCUCGGAUCAGGUAGGAAUACCCGCUGAACUUAAGCAUAUCAAUAAGCGGAGGA
rnacentral:misc_RNA from 1 species